rfam:Syphacia muris strain Valencia genome assembly, scaffold: SMTV_contig0000010
GCAGCGUUGAUAUGUCUGGUAUUCUUGGGUUGAACUAGUGCAACCAGCAUAUCGGACAUGUCGCCGUUGC